AACGAACGCUGGCGGCAUGCCUAACACAUGCAAGUCGAACGAGACCUUCGGGUCUAGUGGCGCACGGGUGCGUAACGCGUGGGAACCUGCCUUUAGGUUCGGAAUAACUCAGAGAAAUUUGAGCUAAUACCGGAUAAUGUCUUCGGACCAAAGAUUUAUCGCCUUUAGAUGGGCCCGCGUUGGAUUAGCUAGUUGGUGGGGUAAAGGCCUACCAAGGCGACGAUCCAUAGCUGGUCUGAGAGGAUGAUCAGCCACACUGGGACUGAGACACGGCCCAGACUCCUACGGGAGGCAGCAGUGGGGAAUAUUGGACAAUGGGCGAAAGCCUGAUCCAGCAAUGCCGCGUGAGUGAUGAAGGCCUUAGGGUUGUAAAGCUCUUUACUGGACGAUAACGACGGUACCGAGAGAAUAAGCCCCCGGGCUAACCUCCGUGCCAGCAGCCGCGGUAAUGUGACUACUG
rnacentral:rRNA from 1 species